CCAGACUCCUACGGGAGGCAGCAGUGGGGAAUAUUGCACAAUGGGGGGAACCCUGAUGCAGCGACGCCGCGUGAGUGAAGAAGUAUUUCGGUAUGUAAAGCUCUGUCAGCAGGGAAGAAGAAAGACGGUACCUGACCAAGAAGCCCCGGCUAACUACGUGCCAGCAGCCGCGGUAAUACGUAGGGGGCAAGCGUUAUCCGGAUUUACUGGGUGUAAAGGGAGCGUAGACGGCAUGGCAAGUCAGACGUGAAAGCCCGGGGCUCAACCCCGGGACUGCAUUUGAAACUGUCAGGCUGGAGUGCAGGAGAGGUAAGUGGAAUUCCUAGUGUAGCGGUGAAAUGCGUAGAUAUAAGGAAGAACACCAGUGGCGAAGGCGGAUUACUGGACGAUAACUGACGGUGAGGCGCGAAAGCGUGGGGAGCAAACAGGAUUAGAUACCCCCGUA
rnacentral:rRNA from 1 species